GAAAAUGACAGGUGUUUUUGAGAAGGCUGGGUUUUUUGGGAAAAAGGCUGUAUUUUUGAAGAAUAGGUAGGAAUUUCUAGGUGAAUAUAUGCCAUCUUUGGGAGAAACCUGGUCUAUCUGGGAAAAAAGGCUAUUUUGAUGGAGGUAAGUGUGAUCUUGAGGAGCGUCAAGUAGAAUUCUUGGGAUGAAACGGGUGGUAUUUCUAAGAGAAGUGGUAUUUCUGGGAGAAAAUGUCUUCUUUUAGGGAGAAACGUUCCUAGAUCGGUGAGAAACCUGUGUUUCUUGAAGAAAAUAUCUUCUUGUGGAUGAAAAAGAUCGUAUCUAUGCAAGAAAGCUGGUAUUUCUGGAGGAAAUGUCCUUGAUUUUUGGUGAAAGAGAUGUUUAGGGGAAUGGAAUAGAGAUUCGGGAUGACAGUGUAACGCCUCUGUGAGCAAGGUGAUAUUACUUAGGGAAAAUGUACCAGAUAUGGGAUGGAAAGAGUAUAUCUGUGAUUAAAUGCCAUAUUUCUGGGAGAAAAGGUCUGAUGUGGGGGGGAGAAGGUGAUGUAUCUGUGAGAAAGCUGGUGUUUCUGGGAGAAAAUGCCAGGUAUUGGUGAGAAAACAGAUGCUAGCGAGGGAAAAGGCUGGUAUUUUGGGAGAAAAUGCCAGGUAUUGGUGAGGAAACAGAUGCUAGAGAGGGAAAAGGCCAUCCCUUUGGGAGAGAAUUGGUAUUUGUGGGAGAAAAUGCCCCAAAUCAGGGAGUAAGUGCCAUCCUGCGGCGUGUCAUGGAGUAGAUUUGGGAGGAAAUUGAGGUGUUUCUAAGAGUAGCGGCACUUCUGGGAGAAAAUGUCCUCAGUGGGAAAGACAAUGUCCUCUUGAGGGAAGAAA
rnacentral:lncRNA from 1 species